GCCGGGUUAGCUGAGUUGGUUCAAGCGACUGAUUCGUAAUCAGUAGUAGGUGGGUUCGAUUCCCAUACCCGGCUCAA
rnacentral:tRNA from 2 species